rnacentral:pre_miRNA from 1 species
CUGCAAAUCACCUGGGGAGCUUGUUAAAAUGCAGAUUCUGAUUCUGGAGUUCUAGGGUGGGCCCAAGAAUCUGUAUUUCUAGCAAACUCCCGGGUGAUGCCAAU